CCUACGGGCGGCAUCAGUGGGGAAUAUUGGACAAUGGGGGGAACCCUGAUCCAGCCAUGCCGCGUGUGUGAAGAAGGCCCUCGGGUUGUAAAGCACUUUCAGUGAGGAAGAACGCCUGGUGGUUAAUACCCAUCAGGAAAGACAUCACUCACAGAAGAAGCACCGGCUAACUCCGUGCCAGCAGCCGCGGUAAUACGGAGGGUGCGAGCGUUAAUCGGAAUUACUGGGCGUAAAGCGCGCGUAGGUGGCUUGAUAAGCCGGUUGUGAAAGCCCCGGGCUCAACCUGGGAACGGCAUCCGGAACUGUCAAGCUAGAGUGCAGGAGAGGAAGGUAGAAUUCCCGGUGUAGCGGUGAAAUGCGUAGAGAUCGGGAGGAAUACCAGUGGCGAAGGCGGCCUUCUGGACUGACACUGACACUGAGGUGCGAAAGCGUGGGUAGCAAACAGGAUUAGAUACCCUAGUAGUC
rnacentral:rRNA from 1 species